GUGUCCCAUCAAAAGUCUCCAGAACACAGGGAAGCCCAGGCUCCCCAUCCAUCCUCACUGACUGCUGAACUUUAAGCCAAUCAAAAGCCUCCAGAGGACAGGAAAGCUCAAACCCCCAACAACCCUCCCUCAGAGAUUACACCAAGAGAUCCUCUGUUAAAGCUCCAAGAGGGGAGACUGAUAGAAGUCCCUAAAAAACAAAAAAAAAAAUGAGAGGAACAAGAGCACAGACAAAUACAGGGAGGAAAGAAGGGGUGAAUUUGAACAAACAACAGAAACAGAAGAAAGAAACUACAAUAGACAGCUACUACUCAGCAAAUGGAACAGAGGGGGAAGAGAUCAGCAAAUGAUAAACCAGAAAUCCCAGCGAAUUGGAUACAGGCUGUGGAAGAACUCAAAACACAACUAAGAGAGGCUGAAGACAAUUGGGAAAAGAACUUAAAAAUUAAGAUAAGUCAUCUGGAAACAGAGGCACUUGAACUAAAACAAGAAAAUAGUGUCCUGAAAGCCAAAAUCAUCCAGCUGGAAAAUGAGGCAAAGGAGAUGAAAGAUGAAGCAAAGGAGAUGAAAGACGAGAUAAAGAGGAUGAAAGACAAUCUUCAAAGAAACUCAGACCAGAAGGAAAAAGACGACCAAAAAGCCAAAGAUGAAAUCCAAUCUUUAAGAACCCGAGUAAAACAACUAGAAUCAAGUGACCUCACAAGGCAGCAGGACACUAUAAGACAAAACAAAAAGAAUGAAAAAAUUGAGGAAAAUGUGAAGCAUUUCAUUCACAAAACAGACGAUUUAGAAAAUCGUUCAAGAAGAGACAAUUUAAGAAUAAUUGGACUACCAGAAGACCACGACAAAAGAAAAAGCCUGGACAUAAUACUAGAGGAAAUUAUCCAGGAAAACUGUCCCGAAAUCCUAGAACAAGAGGGGAAAGUGGAGAUUGAAAGAAUCCACAGAUCACCCCCUGUUUUUAAUCCCCAACUGACAACACCAAGAAAUGUUAUAGCCAAAUUCAAAAACAAUCAGAUAAAAGAACAGGUAUUACAAGCUGCCAAAAAGAAACCAUUCAGAUACCAUGGAAACAUGGUGAGGAUAACACAGGAUCUUUC
rnacentral:lncRNA from 1 species